CUCCUACGGGAGGCAGCAGUGGGGAAUCUUGCGCAAUGGGCGAAAGCCUGACGCAGCAACGCCGCGUGCGGGAUGACGGCCUUCGGUUGUAACCGUUUCUAGCAGGGACGGAAAAUAGACGGUACCUGCAGAAGAAGCUCCGGCUAACUACGUGCCAGCAGCCGCGGUAAUACGUAGGGAGCAAGCGUUGUCCGGAUUUAUUGGGCGUAAAGAGCUCGUAGGCGGUUCCGUAAGUCGAGUGUGAAAAAUCUGGGCUCAACCCAGUGGAGCACUCGAUACUGCGGUGACUAGAGUCCGGUAGGGGAGUGUGGAAUUCCUGGUGUAGCGGUGAAAUGCGCAGAUAUCAGGAGGAACACCGACGGCGAAGGCAGCACUCUGGGGCCGGUACUGACGCUGAGGAGCGAAAGCGUGGGGAGCAAACAGGAUUAGAUACCCUGGUAGUCCACGCCGUAAACGUUGGGCACUAGGUGUGGGAGGGAGUCAACCCCCUUCGUGCCGUAGCUAACGCAUUAAGUGCCCCG
rnacentral:rRNA from 1 species